rnacentral:ribozyme from 15 species
UUUUUUUUUUUUUUUUUUUUUUUUCUUUUUUUUUUUCUCGACAU